UACGUAGGGGGCAAGCGUUGUCCGGAUUUAUUGGGCGUAAAGAGCGUGUAGGCGGCCUGAAAGGUCAGCUGUGAAAACUCGAGGCUCAACCUCGAGACGUCGGUUGAAACCAUCUGGCUAGAGUCCGGAAGAGGAGUGUGGAAUUCCCGGUGCAGCGGUGAAAUGCGUAGAGAUCGGGAGGAAGGCCGGUGGCGAAGGCGGCGCUCUGGAACGUUUCUGACACUGAGGCUCGAAAGCGUGGGGAGCAAACAGG
rnacentral:rRNA from 1 species